AGGAUUAACGCUGGCGGCGUGCCUAACACAUGCAAGUCGAACGAGGUAGCAAUACCUAGUGGCAGACGGGUGAGUAACGCGUGGUCAACCUACCGUUGAGUGGGGGAUAACUAGCCGAAAGGUUAGCUAAUACCGCAUACGAGUCUCGGGGGCAUCCCUGAGCCUUAAAAGGAGCAAUCCGCUCGAUGACGGGACCGCGUCCCAUUAGCUAGAUGGUGGGGUAACGGCCUACCAUGGCACCGAUGGGUAGCUGGUUUGAGAGAGCGACCAGCCACACUGGGACUGAGAAACGGCCCAGACUCCUACGGGAGGCAGCAGUGAGGAAUUUUCCGCAAUGGGCGAAAGCCUGACGGAGCGACGCCGCGUGUGGGAAGAAGGCCUUCGGGUCGUAAACCACUGUCGAAGGGGACGAUAAUGACGGUACCCUUGGAGGAAGCCCGGCUAACUACGUGCCAGCAGCCGC
rnacentral:rRNA from 1 species